UACGUAGGGGCCUAGCGUUGUCCGGAUUUAUUGGGCGUAAAGAGCUCGUAGGCGGUUCGGCAAGUCGGAUGUGAAAUCUCCACGCUCAACGUGGAGGGGCCAUUCGAAACUGCCGUGACUCGAGUCCGGUAGGGGAGUGUGGAAUUCCCGGUGUAGCGGUGAAAUGCGCAGAUAUCGGGAGGAACACCGGUGGCGAAGGCGGUUCUCUGGGCCUUACCUGACGCUGAGGAGCGAAAGCGUGGGGAGCGAACAGG
rnacentral:rRNA from 1 species